AGAGUUUGAUCCUGGCUCAGAUUGAACGCUGGCGGCACGCCUAACACAUGCAAGUCGAGCGGUAACAUGGGAUGUAGCAAUACAUUCUGAUGACGAGCGGCGGACGGGUGAGGAACACGUAGGAACCUGCCCUCAAGCGGGGGAUAACCAGGGGAAACCUUGGCUAAUACCGCAUGACCUCGAGAGAGCAAAGCUACCCGCAAGGGCGGCACUUGGGGAGGGGCCUGCGUCCGAUUAGCUGGUUGGUGAGGUAAUGGCUCACCAAGGCGAUGAUCGGUAACUGGUCUGAGAGGACGACCAGUCACACUGGGACUGAGACACGGCCCAGACUCCUACGGGAGGCAGCAGUGGGGAAUAUUGGACAAUGGGGGCAACCCUGAUCCAGCGAUGCCGCGUGAGUGAAGAAGGCCUUCGGGUCGUAAAGCUCUUUAGGCCGGGAAGAAGAUGAUACGUUGCAUAGACGUGUCAUUUGACGGUACCGGCAGAAUAAGCACCGGCAAACUCUGUGCCAGCAGCCGCGGUAAUACUGAGGGUGCGAGCGUUAAUCGGAAUUACUGGGUGUAAAGGGCGCGUAGGCGGCAAGAUAUGUGUGGUGUGAAAGCCCCGGGCUUAACCUGGGAAGUGCAUCGCAAACUGUCUGGCUGGAGUACAUGAGAGGGUGGCGGAAUUUCCGGUGUAGCGGUGAAAUGCGUAGAGAUCGGAAGGAACGUCAAUGGCGAAGGCAGCCACCUGGCAUGAUACUGACGCUGAGGCGCGAAAGCGUGGGGAGCGAACAGGAUUAGAUACCCUGGUAGUCCACGCCGUAAACGAUGAGGACUGGAUGUUGGCAGGGGAACCUGUCAGUAUCGAAGCUAACGCGAUAAGUCUUCCACCUGGGAAGUACGGCCGCAAGGUUGAAACUCAAAUGAAUUGACGGGGGCCCGCACAAGCGGUGGAGCAUGCGGUUUAAUUCGAUGCAACGCGAAGAACCUUACCUACCCUUGACAUCCUGCGAAUCCUGUAGAGAUACGGGAGUGCCGAAAGGAGCGCAGAGACAGGUGCUGCAUGGCUGUCGUCAGCUCGUGUUGUGAGAUGUUGGGUUAAGUCCCGUAACGAGUCGUAACAAGGUAACCGU
rnacentral:rRNA from 1 species